rnacentral:rRNA from 1 species
AACGAACGCUGGCGGCAUGCCUAACACAUGCGAGUCGAACGAGACCUUCGGGUCUAGUGGCGCACGGGUGCGUAACGCGUGGGAACCUGCCCUUAGGUUCGGAAUAACUCCCCGACAGGGGUGCUAAUACCGGAUAAUGUCUUCGGACCAAAGAUUUAUCGCCUUUGGUUGGGCCCGCGUUGGAUUAGCUAGUUGGUAGGGUAAAAGCCUACCAAGGCGACGAUCCAUAGCUGGUCUGAGAGGAUGAUCAGCCACACUGGGGGGGGGACGCGGCCCAGACUCCUACGGGAGGCAGCAGUGGGGAAUAUUGGACAAUGGGGGAAAGCCUGAUGCAGCAAUGGCGGGUGAGUGAUGAAGGCGUGAGGGUUGUGAAGCUCUUUUAACCGGGAAGAUAAUGACAGUACCGGGAGAAUAAGCUCCGGCUAACUCCGUG